rnacentral:lncRNA from 1 species
CUUUCAAAUUUCGAACUCGCUACUCAUUAAAAAAAAAGUCCAUUCUUUUUAAAAAUUCGAAACCAAAUGGCUAGUAACAACAACCCGCAUGAGAACCUUUCAGACCAAACACCUUCUGAUGACUUCUUCGACCAAAUCCUCGGUCUUCCCAACUUCUCUGCUUCUUCAUCCGACGGUGGGUUAAGCGGAGGAGGAGCACCGCCGAUGAUGCUGCAGCUGGGCUCCGGCGAGGAAGGAAGUCACAUGGCUGGGCUAGGAGGAAGCGGACCAAGUGUGUUUCACAACCAGAUGUUUCCUCUAGGGUUGAGUCUUAACCAAGGGAAAGGACCUGUCUUUCUUAGACCUGAAGGUGGUGGUGUUCAUGCAAGUGUGAAUCGAUCUUCUUCUUCUUCUUCUAUGAAAGGACCUGUAAGGAAUCAAUUUUUUUGUUAUGCUUUUUCUAUGUGUUCUUACAUCUUUUGUCUUGUUGUUGUAAGGUUUUUCAUGGGCAGCCGAUGCAACAGCCAGCUCCAGCAGCGCCACAUCAGCCUACAUCAAUCCGUCCUAGAGUUCGAGCUAGGCGUGGUCAGGCUACUGAUCCUCACAGUAUCGCUGAAAGGGUAAAACUUUUACUUCAGAUUCUCUUUUUGUGUGUUUUGUGGAAGGGGGUAAAGCUGAAAGAUUUGAACUUUGUUACAGCUACGUAGGGAAACACUGUUAUAUUUACAAAACAUUAACGGCUGUGCCUGUGUGGUGUUAUUUGUGUCGUUAUCAGUGAGGUCAUGGCUUGCUUCACCUUUUAAAUAAUGGAUCAAAGUUACUGUUAUUGUAGGGUAGUUUUUGUUAUCUUGUUCCCAUUAGCUGUGUGACUGAACAUAUGAUGAGGCCACUUUGCAUCAGCCUUUUAAGACAUACUAUUCACGAGUUUGAAAUUGAUUGAGCUCAUAACUUAUUCAAAGUCUGUUUCUUUCUUUAGUGUCAAAAAAAACAUGAUGAGAAAAUAUGGCAUAUGCGUGUAGGUUGCCAAUAUGAUCAGGUUCUUGGUGGAUAGCUACAACAAGCCAGUUCCUGCAAUCCUGGAGAUCCCUUCCAAGGACCAUCCCUAUGAUCCUGCUCAUGACUCUGUUCUCUCCCGUGUCAAGUACCUCUUCUCUGCUGAAUCUGUGUCACAGCGUUAAAACAUUUACACAUUCUGCAAAGCUCGCCUGAGCUUUUAUAUCAUUUGACAUUCUUGUAUUUCUCAGUUUUCAAUAAUGUCUAUCUCUUGGUUUUUGUUUGGAAAUGGAUGUUAUAUCAGUAAGAAGCAAUGAUAACACCAUCUGGUUCUUUUUGCAUUGAAUAAAGAGAGUGAGUCAUUGUGUAUUCAAGAGACUUUAAAGAUUUAAGUGAAGACUCCAUCUAUGUGAAGCAUUUUGAGUCAGAUAAGCAGAAGCAACCAAAAGGAAGUUCAGAUCAGGUCCACCUGGAUUUAAGAAGAAGAAUAUAAGUACUUGGGUUCGCUAUGACUAUUACCAAAACACAUGUUAGUCAGAUAGAAUCAAAAAUUGUCCUAAUGUUUUAUUUAUCAAACAUCCAGGCCUAUUUGUUCUUGGCAACCACAAAGUUCCAGCCCAUUUACUGUUAUUUAUUGUUUCUGGAAGAAAAAGAAGAAAUGGCAAAAGUGAAAUAAUCAGAAAAAGCAAGGGCCCUUUCACAAAAAUAAAAAGAUGAAUUUUAGAAAAACAGAGCAUAAAGUUUGACACUUUUGUUCUGCUCCUUUCUCGUCUCUGUCUUCUUCGUCCUCAUUCAUCUUAAAGGCAUCACUCACCAAACAGCUUUAGAAUUUUCUCUUUCAAAACUCAAACUCGCUACUCAUUAAAAAAAAUCCAUUUUUAAAAAAAAACUCAAAACCAAAUGGCUAGUAACAACAACCCGCAUGAGAACCUUUCAGACCAAACACCUUCUGAUGACUUCUUCGACCAAAUCCUCGGUCUUCCCAACUUCUCCGCUUCUUCCUCCGACGGUGGGUUAGGCGGAGGAGGAGGAGGAGGAGCACCGCCGAUGAUGCUACAGCUGGGCUCCG